GACAGAGGCCUCAAGCGUUUAGGCGGAAUCACUGGGCUUAAAGCGUGUGUAGGCGGAUCGUUAAGUGUCUUGUGAAAUCCCACGGCUCACCCGUGGAACGGCUGGGCAUACUGGCGAUCUUGGGCCAACUAGGGGCAACUGGAACAAGCGGUGGAGCGGUGAAAUGCGUAGAUAAUCGCUUGGAACGCCAAAGGUGAAAACAGGUUGCUGGGGUUG
rnacentral:rRNA from 1 species